rnacentral:rRNA from 1 species
GUGUCAGCAGCCGCGGUAAUACCAGCACCCCGAGUGGUCGGGACGAUUAUUGGGCCUAAAGCAUCCGUAGCCGGUUCUACAAGUCUUCCGUUAAAUCCAGCUGCUUAACAGUUGGGCUGCGGAGGAUACUAUAGAUCUAGGGGGCGGGAGAGGCAAGCGGUACUUAGUGGGUAGGGGUAAAAUCCGUUGAUCCACUGAAGACCACCAGUGGCGAAGGCGGCUUGCCAGAACGCGCUCGACGGUGAGGGAUGAAAGCUGGGGGAGCAAACCGGAUUAGAUACCCGGGUAGUCCCAGCUGUAAACGAUGCAGACUCGGUGAUGAGUUGGCUUUUUGCUAACUCAGUGCCGCAGGGAAGCCGUUAAGUUUGCCGCCUGGGGAGUACGGUCGCAAGACUGAAACUUAAAUGAAUUGGCGGGG